rnacentral:rRNA from 1 species
UACGAAGGGGGCUAGCGUUGUUCGGAAUCACUGGGCGUAAAGCGCACGUAGGCGGAUCUUUAAGUCAGAGGUGAAAUCCCAAGGCUCAACCUUGGAACUGCCUUUGAUACUGGGGAUCUUGAGUCCGGGAGAGGUGAGUGGAACUGCGAGUGUAGAGGUGAAAUGCGUAGAUAUUGGGAGGAACACCAGUGGCGAAGGCGGCUCACUGGACCGGUUCUGACGCUGAGGCGCGAAAGCGUGGGGAGCAAACGGG